rnacentral:rRNA from 1 species
ACCUUCGGGCCUUGCGCUAUCAGAUGAGCCUAGGUCGGAUUAGCUAGUUGGUGAGGUAAUGGCUCACCAAGGCGACGAUCCGUAACUGGUCUGAGAGGAUGAUCAGUCACACUGGAACUGAGACACGGUCCAGACUCCUACGGGAGGCAGCAGUGGGGAAUAUUGGACAAUGGGCGAAAGCCUGAUCCAGCCAUGCCGCGUGUGUGAAGAAGGUCUUCGGAUUGUAAAGCACUUUAAGUUGGGAGGAAGGGCCAUUACCUAAUACGUGAUGGUUUUGACGUUACCGACAGAAUAAGCACCGGCUAACUCUGUGCCAGCAGCCGCGGUAAUACAGAGGGUGCAAGCGUUAAUCGGAAUUACUGGGCGUAAAGCGCGCGUAGGUGGUUCGUUAAGUUGGAUGUGAAAUCCCCGGGCUCAACCUGGGAACUGCAUUCAAAACUGUCGAGCUAGAGUAUGGUAGAGGGUGGUGGAAUUUCCUGUGUAGCGGUGAAAUGCGUAGAUAUAGGAAGGAACACCAGUGGCGAAGGCGACCACCUGGACUGAUACUGAC